rnacentral:rRNA from 1 species
ACUUAAAUUGAAGAGUUUGAUCAUGGCUCAGAUUGAACGCUGGCGGCAGGCCUAACACAUGCAAGUCGAGCGGCAGCGGGAAAGUAGCUUGCUACUUUUGCCGGCGAGCGGC